GAUGAACGCUGGCGGCGUGCCUAACACAUGCAAGUCGAGCGAACCCUUCGGGGUGAGCGGCGGAUGGGUGAGUAACGCGUGGGUAACCUGCCCUGUACACACGGAUAACAUACCGAAAGGUAUGCUAAUACGGGAUAACAUAUGAGAGUCGCAUGGCUUUUGUAUCAAAGCUCCGGCGGUACAGGAUGGACCCGCGUCUGAUUAGCUAGUUGGUAAGGUAACGGCUUACCAAGGCAACGAUCAGUAGCCGACCUGAGAGGGUGAUCGGCCACAUUGGAACUGAGACACGGUCCAAACUCCUACGGGAGGCAGCAGUGGGGAAUAUUGCACAAUGGGCGAAAGCCUGAUGCAGCAACGCCGCGUGAGCGAUGAAGGCCUUCGGGUCGUAAAGCUCUGUCCUCAAGGAAGAUAAUGACGGUACUUGAGGAGGAAGCCCCGGCUAACUACGUGCCAGCAGCCGCGGUAAUACGUAGGGGGCUAGCGUUAUCCGGAAUUACUGGGCGUAAAGGGUGCGUAGGCGGUCUUUCAAGCCAGAAGUGAAAGGCUACGGCUCAACCGUAGUAAGCUUUUGGAACUGUAGGACUUGAGUGCAGGAGAGGAGAGUGGAAUUCCUAGUGUAGCGGUGAAAUGCGUAGAUAUUAGGAGGAACACCAGUAGCGAAGGCGGCUCUCUGGACUGUAACUGACGCUGAGGCACGAAAGCGUGGGGAGCAAACAGGAUUAGAUACCCUGGUAGUCCACGCCGUAAACGAUGAGUACUAGGUGUCGGGGGUUACCCCCCUCGGUGCCGCAGCUAACGCAUUAAGUACUCCGCCUGGGAAGUACGCUCGCAAGAGUGAAACUCAAAGGAAUUGACGGGGACCCCCACAAGUAGCGGAGCAUGUGGUUUAAUUCGAAGCAACGCGAAGAACCUUACCUAAGCUUGACAUCCCACUGAUCUCUCCCUAAUCGGAGAUUUCCCUUCGGGGACAGUGGUGACAGGUGGUGCAUGGUUGUCGUCAGCUCGUGUCGUGAGAUGUUGGGUUAAGUCCCGCAACGAGCGCAACCCUUGCCUUUAGUUGCCAGCAUUAAGUUGGGCACUCUAGAGGGACUGCCGAGGAUAACUCGGAGGAAGGUGGGGAUGACGUCAAAUCAUCAUGCCCCUUAUGCUUAGGGCUACACACGUGCUACAAUGGGUGGUACAGAGGGUUGCCAAGCCGUGAGGUGGAGCUAAUCCCUUAAAGCCAUUCUCAGUUCGGAUUGUAGGCUGAAACUCGCCUACAUGAAGCUGGAGUUACUAGUAAUCGCAGAUCAGAAUGCUGCGGUGAAUGCGUUCCCGGGUCU
rnacentral:rRNA from 1 species